rnacentral:rRNA from 1 species
AUUGAACGCUGGCGGCAGGCCUAACACAUGCAAGUCGAGCGGGGUUUUCGGACCUAGCGGCGGACGGGUGAGUAAUGCGUAGGAAGCUGCCCGAUAGAGGGGGAUACCAGUUGGAAACGACUGUUAAUACCGCAUAAUGUCUACGGACCAAAGUGUGGGACCUUCGGGCCACAUGCUAUCGGAUGCGCCUACGUGGGAUUAGCUAGUUGGUGAGGUAAUGGCUCACCAAGGCGACGAUCUAUAGCUGGUUUGAGAGGAUGAUCAGCCACACUGGAACUGAGACACGGUCCAGACUCCUACGGGAGGCAGCAGUGGGGAAUAUUGGACAAUGGGCGCAAGCCUGAUCCAGCCAUGCCGCGUGUGUGAAGAAGGCCUUCGGGUUGUAAAGCACUUUCAGCGAGGAGGAAGGGUGGUGUGUUAAUAGCACAUCAUUUUGACGUCACUCGCAGAAGAAGCACCGGCUAACUCUGUGCCAGCAGCCGCGGUAACAC